UACGUAGGGUGCAAGCGUUGUCCGGAAUUAUUGGGCGUAAAGAGCUUGUAGGCGGUUUGUCGCGUCUGCUGUGAAAUUUCGGGGCUCAACCCCGAACUUGCAGUGGGUACGGGCAGGCUAGAGUGUGGUAGGGGAGACUGGAAUUCCUGGUGUAGCGGUGAAAUGCGCAGAUAUCAGGAGGAACACCGAUGGCGAAGGCAGGUCUCUGGGCCACUACUGACGCUGAGAAGCGAAAGCAUGGGGAGCGAACAGG
rnacentral:rRNA from 1 species